rnacentral:tRNA from 1 species
CGAGGGCGUCAUAAGACCUGCUAACUCUUUAACCUGGAACUAAUCUCCAGCCCCCUC